rnacentral:rRNA from 1 species
AUUGAACGCUGGCGGCAUGCCUUACACAUGCAAGUCGAACGGUAACAGGGAGCUUGCUCCGCUGACGAGUGGCGAACGGGUGAGUAAUGUAUCGGAACGUACCAUUCAGUGGGGGAUAACGUAGCGAAAGUUACGCUAAUACCGCAUAUUCUGUGAGCAGGAAAGCAGGGGAUCGCAAGACUUUGCGCUGAUUGAGCGGCCGAUAUCAGAUUAGCUAGUUGGUGAGGUAAAGGCUCACCAAGGCGACGAUCUGUAGCGGGUCUGAGAGGAUGAUCCGCCACACUGGAACUGAGACACGGUCCAGACUCCUACGGGAGGCAGCAGUGGGGAAUUUUGGACAAUGGGGGCAACCCUGAUCCAGCCAUGCCGCGUGAGUGAAGAAGGCCUUCGGGUUGUAAAGCUCUUUCGGCCGGGAAAAAAUCGCAUCAGUUAAUACCUGGUGUGGAUGAUGGUACCGGAAUAAGAAGCACCGGCUAACUACGUG